AUUGAACGCUGGUGGCAUGCCUUACACAUGCAAGUCGAACGGCAGCACGGGGCAACCUGGUGGCGAGUGACGAACGGGUGAGUAAUGCAUCGGAACGUACCUUUCAGUGGGGGAUAACGUAGCGAAAGUUACGCUAAUACCGCAUAUUCUGUGAGCAGGAAAGCAGGGGAUCGCAAGACCUUGCGCUGAUUGAGCGGCCGAUGUCAGAUUAGCUAGUUGGUGAGGUAAAGGCUCACCAAGGCGACGAUCUGUAGCGGGUCUGAGAGGAUGAUCCGCCACACUGGAACUGAGACACGGUCCAGACUCCUACGGGAGGCAGCAGUGGGGAAUUUUGGACAAUGGGGGCAACCCUGAUCCAGCCAUGCCGCGUGAGUGAAGAAGGCCUUCGGGUUGUAAAGCUCUUUCGGCCGGGAAGAAAUCGCACGGGCUAAUACCCUGUGUGGAUGACGGUACCGGAAAAAGAAGCACCGGCUAACUACGUGCCAGCCGCCGCAGUAACAC
rnacentral:rRNA from 1 species